rfam:Schistosoma haematobium scaffold82_8, whole genome shotgun sequence.
AUCCAGCUGAAAAGUCCCAAAUAGGACGAAAUGCGUGUCCUGGAU